rnacentral:rRNA from 1 species
CCCAGACUCCUACGGGAGGCAGCAGUGGGGGAUAUUGCACAAUGGGGGGAACCCUGAUGCAGCGACGCCGCGUGGGUGAAGAAGUAUUUCGGUAUGUAAAGCCCUAUCGGCAGGGAAGAAAUUGGACGGUACCUGACUAAGAAGCCCUGGCUAACUACGUGCCAGCAGCCGCGGUAAUACGUAGGGGGCAAGCGUUAUCCGGAUUCACUGGGUGUAAAGGGAGCGUAGACGGCCAUGCAAGCCUGGAGUGAAAGCCCGGGGCCCAACCCCGGGACUGCUCUGGGAACUGUGCGGCUGGAGUGCGGGAGGGGCAGGCGGAAUUCCUGGUGUAGCGGUGAAAUGCGUAGAUAUCAGGAGGAACACCAGUGGCGAAGGCGGCCUGCUGGGCUUUUACUGACGCUGAGGCUCGAAAGUGUGGGGAGCAAACAGGAUUAGAUACCCCAGUA